GGCUGCAAUGCAUCACAGACAACUCCAUCUUCUGGUUAGUUGUGUUCUUGUCUUUAGAUUAAUGUUUUUUUUUGUCCUUUUAAUGUUUUAUUAUAUAGCUUUUUUUGUUUGUUUGUUUAAUUAUGUUGGUCUUGUAUUUCUUCACAGCAUUUAGGUUUAAGAGGCCUUGCUCUAAACGUCACUCAAAGUAAAACUCAUCGUCUCAACAAGAACAUUAGUGUCCAGCAUCAUCAUUACAUUGUCUUGGAAAGUCUGGCAGUUGCGCUUGGAUCAGGCUGAGGACAGAAGCCUGCAGCCCCGAAUGAGUGUUGCACAAGCCCAUCACAAAAUUUCUGUGCUGAGAUCUUGCCUUCAUCGUUGGAGAAAACGUCUCACAGAGCACCGACAAAUGCAGGAGUUGGAACUACGUGCUGAUGCCUCCUUUGCCCGACGUAUCUUUCCACAAUGUGUAAACACUUGGAUGGAGUUUGCAGCACAACGCACAGAGAAACGAGAGCAGAAAGAGAGAGCUGAACAACAUUACAGGCAAGCUUCUGUGCCUAAAAUAGUGUGUGCGCAUGUAGAUAUCCAUGUCUGUGUUGUAUUGUACUGAAAAUGUACAUGUUUUUGUCCUCUAUACAGGCAGCAGACUUGCAGUUGGGUAUUUUAAACUUGGUGGAGAAACCUGGAGGUACAGAGAGAUCAGAGACUUGCUGACAGAACGGUAAGAUGACAUCCAUGAAUAUACAUUCACAAAAAAAUGAAGUCAGUGAGAUAU
rnacentral:lncRNA from 1 species